rnacentral:rRNA from 1 species
UUCGGUGGCCAUAGCGUCGGGGAAACACCCAGUCUCCAUUCCGAACCUGGAAGUUAAGCCCGCCAGCGCCGAUGGUACUGCGACCGGGAGGUCGUGGGAGAGUAGGACGCCGCCGGACAUUCACACUGUUAAGGGCCACCCCACUAGGGGUGGCCCUUAACAUUUGUGG